AAGUCCAGGGUCUUAGUUACUUGUCUGCUGUGUGACCUUGGGAGCUGGAUGAAUGGCUUCAGGAAGAAACGUGGAAUAUUUGAGCUUCCAGUGGCCUGGACCCAACAGCUAAAGGAUGAAGUUCGGAUCUCUGAGGACUUUACCAAAAUCCUUGUGAUCAAGCUGGGGGUGAAAGAGCCAUGUCUGACAGCAGUCUUUUCUAUUAUAAUGCAUGUUUAUAUUACACAAUUUGGAAGGAUUGUAAUGUAAGGGUAGGGGAACAUAGUUGUCAUAACAGGGUUGUAGACUGGCUGGGUAUUGAUUAUAAUGGGAAGGUGUUCUGUCAGGAAUGCUGCUUCACAUAAAUGACAUAGUCCUGUGACCACCCUGGUUUCAGCCAGGGGUCAGCAACCUUUCUUUGCAGAAGAGCCACACAAAAUGAAAUCUUUGAGCAGUUGGUGCCAGAAAAGCCAAUCGCACAAUUUAAACACUCAUUUAUGUAACUUAUGUAUUGCAAAUCUAAUGACUGCAAAUUUAUCAUCUCCCAUUCCAUAUGGUAGCGGAAUAUUUAAAUGCCUCGUUCUGUAGCUGAGCCCUUCAGAAUGCCUGCUCAGUGGCAUCUGGGAUGAUGUUAUACCCCAUUCAUUCAAUCAUACUUAUUGAGCGCUUACUGUGUGCAGAGCACUGUACUAGGUGCUCGUGAGAGUACAUACAACAAAAACAGAUACAUUCCCUGCCCACAACAGGUUUACAAUCUAGAGGAGCUUCAGGGUUUCAUGAUUUUCUGGGGCUACUGCAGAACUCACAACAGGAUGCUGUCACACUGCACUCAGUGCAUUUAAUGAUAUCCCGGCCACCAUGUCCUGCUUCAUAGACAAUGCUGUGGGACCAGUAGGAGAAAGGAGGAGAGGAAAGGGAAGAGAGAGGAAAAGUAGAGAAGGGAAAGGGAAAGAAAGGAAGUCAAUGAGAAGAUAAGGAAGAGGUAAGGAAAGAUGACAGUUAACUGCUAGCACUGGCAGAGAAUAGUGUCAGUGCCCUCCCACACACACGUCGAAAAGGCUGUGCCCACGUGGCCCAGCAUGAAAAUCAAUAGCAAUACCCCUCCUUCACUGCUUGAUCCCUCCCCAUCCUCCAAGGGCACAAUAUCAACAUGUCCGGGGGAGAGGGGGACCUGACCUUCUCCAACUUGGACCAGGAUACCAUCCUUUCCUGCUUUGUGGCCUAUCCUCUAGACUGUAAGCUCAUUUUGGGCAGGGAUGUUCUUUUUAUUGUUAUAUCAUACUCUCCCAAGCACUUAGUACAGUGAUUGUCAAACAGUAAGCACUCAAUAAAUACAGUUGCCUGAUUGACAGGAUGGGUUUGGGCCAUGCUGCUUGGAUAUUUGAGAAGGAGGGAGGGCUUCCUGGUGGCACAUGGUGGGUGUCUAAGAUCUGCUGCGGCUCCUGCACUUGCCCCUGUUUCUGUUCUUCCCUGUGCUCCUGCCAGCAGUCGUCCAUCUCCCUCCUUCCCUCCCAGCUCUGAAGACCAGUCAAGCCCUUGGGAGCCUCCAAAAUUGACAGAAGGGGGCUUCAAAAGUCUCACCUCUCCUUUGUGACUCAAAAGUCACAUUUAGUUCCAAGAAGAUCCAGAGAUACCCUCCUUGCAGUCAGGGAACAUGUCUACCAACUGUUAUGUUGUACUCUCCCAAGCACUUAGUGUAUUGCUGUGCACACAGUAAUUGCUCAAUAAAUACCAUUGUUAACACUGGAGCCAUAGGUGGAA